rnacentral:rRNA from 1 species
AACGAACGCUGGCGGCGCGCCUAACACAUGCAAGUCGAACGAGAAUCCGGGGCAACCCGGUAGUAAAGUGGCAAACGGGUGAGGAAUACAUGGGUAACCUACCCUUGAGAAGGGAAUAACCCGCCGAAAGGUGAGCUAAUACCCUAUACGCUAUCUUUUUUUCGAAAAGGAUAGGAAAGCCGGGUCGAGGACCUGGUACUCAAGGAGGGGCUCAUGUCCUAUCAGCUUGUUGGUGGGGUAACGGCCUACCAAGGCUACGACGGGUAGCUGGUCUGAGAGGAUGAUCAGCCACACUGGUACUGAGAUACGGGCCAGACUCCUACGGGAGGCAGCAGUGAGGAAUAUUGCGCAAUGGGCGAAAGCCUGACGCAGCGACGCCGCGUGGGGGAUGAAGGUUUUCGGAUUGUAAACCCUUUCAUGAGGAAAGAUAAAGUGGGUAACCACUUAGACGGUACCUCAAGAAGAAGCCACGGCUAACUUCGUG